rnacentral:rRNA from 1 species
AUUGAACGCUGGCGGCAGGCCUAACACAUGCAAGUCGAGCGGGGUUUUCGGACCUAGCGGCGGACGGGUGGGUAAUGCGUAGGAAGCUGCCCGAUAGAGGGGGAUACCAGUUGGAAACGACUGUUAAUACCGCAUAAUGUCUACGGACCAAAGUGUGGGACCUUCGGGCCACAUGCUAUCGGAUGCGCCUACGUGGGAUUAGCUAGUUGGUGAGGUAAUGGCUCACCAAGGCGACGAUCUCUAGCUGGUCUGAGAGGAUGAUCAGCCACACUGGACAUGAGACACGGUCUAGACUCCUACGGGAGGAAGCAGUGGGGAAUAUUGGACAAUGGGCGAAAGCCUGAUCCAGCCAUGCCGCGUGUGUGAAGGAGGCCUUCGGGUUGUAAAGCACUUUCAGCGAGGAGGAAGGGGUGUGUGUUAAUAGUACACACCUUUGACGUUACUCGCAGAAGAAGCACCGGCUAACUCUGUGCCAGCCGCCGCCGUAACAC